GUGCUUACUUCACCAGCACAGAUACUAAAACUGGAAGAAUAUAGAGAAGAUUAGCCUGGUCUCUGAGCAAGGCUGACAUGCAAAUUCGUGAAGCGUUCCAUAUUUUU
ensembl:snRNA U6 U6 spliceosomal RNA